rnacentral:lncRNA from 1 species
ACAGAUGUAUGCCUUGUGUAAACACUUUUUUUCCUUGUUUUAUACAUGCUAAAUAGAUUUGUUAAGGUCUAAAAAUAAAAUAGCUAUCGAAAUCGAGAGUAAGCAAUAAAAUUGCUGGUCAAUCAAUCCAAAACAUAACAUGACAAUCAAACCUAGACAAUGCACAAAUACCCCAAAAUGAUGUCCAGUAAUUUACUACUACACAACAUUAUAGUCCAAAGGAC